CCCUUAGAUGUUCUGGGCCGCACGCGCGCUACACUGACGAUGACAACGAGUUUUUCCUUCGCCGAAAGGUGUGGGUAAUCUUUUGAAACAUCGUCGUGCUGGGGAUAGAUCAUUGCAAUUUUUGAUCUUGAACGAGGAAUUCCUAGUAAGCGCGAGUCAUCAGCUCGCGUUGAUUACGUCCCUGCCCUUUGUACACACCGCCCGUCGCUACUACCGAUUGAAUGGUUUAGUGAGGACUCCUGAUUGGCGCCGCCGCCCCGGCAACGGAGCAGCGGACUGCCGAAAAGUUGUUCAAACUUGAUCAUUUAGAGGAAGUAAAAGUCGUAACA
rnacentral:rRNA from 1 species